rnacentral:rRNA from 1 species
ACGGGGGGGGCAAGCGUUGUUCGGAAUUACUGGGCGUAAAGGGCUCGUAGGCGGCCAACUAAGUCGGAUGUGAAAUCCCCAGGCUUAACCUGGGAACUGCAUCCGAUACUGGAUGGCUUGAGGUUGGGAGAGGGAUGCGGAAUUCCAGGUGUAGUGGUGAAAUGCGUAGAGAUCCGGAGGAACACCAGUGGCGAAGGCGACCCGCUGGGCUGUACCUGACGCUAAAACGCGACAGCAUGGGGAGCGAACGGGA